rnacentral:rRNA from 1 species
GAUGAACGCUAGCGGGAGGCUUAACACAUGCAAGUCGAGGGGCAGCAUAGGGUAGCAAUACUCUGAUGGCGACCGGCAAACGGGUGAGUAACGCGUAUGCAACCUACCCUGUACAGGGGGAUAACCCGGAGAAAUUCGGACUAAUAUCCCGUAAUAAUAUCCGGAGGCAUCUUUGGAUAUUUAAAGUUCCGACGGUACGGGAUGGGCAUGCGUAACAUUAACUGGUUGGUAAGGUAACGGCUUACCAAGGCUAUGAUGUUUAGGGGUCCUGAGAGGGUGGUCCCCCACACUGGUACUGAGACACGGACCAGACUCCUACGGGAGGCAGCAGUGAGGAAUAUUGGUCAAUGGGCGCAAGCCUGAACCAGCCAUCCCGCGUGCAGGAAGACGGCCCUAUGGGUUGUAAACUGCUUUUCCAGGGAGAGAAACUUACGCACGUGUUGCGUGACUGACGGUACCCUGGGAAUAAGCAUCGGCUAACUCCGUGCCAGCAGCCGCGGUAAUCUAAGUCUACG